UACAGAGGGUGCGAGCGUUGUUCGGAAUUAUUGGGCGUAAAGGGCGCGUAGGCGGUGCGGUAAGUCACCUGUGAAAUCUCCUGGCUCAACUGGGAGCUUGCAGGCGAAACUGCCGUGCUGGAGUGUGGGAGAGGUGCGUGGAAUUCCUGGUGUAGCGGUGAAAUGCGUAGAUAUCAGGAGGAACACCUGUGGCGAAGGCGACUCACUGGACACGUAUUGACGCUGAGGUGCGAAAGCGUGGGGAGCAAACAGG
rnacentral:rRNA from 1 species